GCUGGGUUUAGAACGUCGUGAGACAGUUCGGUCCCUAUCUGCCGUGGGCGCUGGAGAACUGAGGGGGGCUGCUCCUAGUACGAGAGGACCGGAGUGGACGCAUCACUGGUGUUCGGGUUGUCAUGCCAAUGGCACUGCCCGGUAGCUAAAUGCGGAAGAGAUAAGUGCUGAAAGCAUCUAAGCACGAAACUUGCCCCGAGAUGAGUUCUCCCUGACCCUUUAAGGGUCCUGAAGGAACGUUGAAGACGACGACGUUGAUAGGCCGGGUGUGUAAGCGCAGCGAUGCGUUGAGCUAACCGGUACUAAUGAACCGUGAGGCUUAACCUUACAACGCCGAAGCUGUU
rnacentral:rRNA from 1 species